rnacentral:rRNA from 1 species
ACCCGGCUGACUUAAGCAUAUCAAUAAGCGGAGGAAAAGAAACCAACAGGGAUUGCCCCAGUAACGGCGAGUGAAGCGGCAAUAGCUCAAAUUUGAAAUCUGGCUCUUUUAGGGUCCGAGUUGUAAUUUGCAGAGGGCGCUUUGGCGUUGGCAGCGGUUCAAGUUCCUUGGAACAGGACGUCACAGAGGGUGAGAAUCCCGUACGUGGUCGCUAGCCUUCGCUGUGUAAAGCCCCUUCGACGAGUCGAGUUGUUUGGGAAUGCAGCUCUAAAUGGGAGGUAAAUUUCUUCUAAAGCUAAAUACUGGCCAGAGACCGAUAGCGCACAAGUAGAGUGAUCGAAAGAUGAAAAGCACUUUGGAAAGAGAGUCAAAUAGCACGUGAAAUUGUUGAAAGGGAAGCGCUUGCAGCCAGACUUGCCCGCAGUUGCUUAUCCAGACUUUGGUCUGGUGCACUCUUCUGUGGGCAGGCCAGCAUCAGUUUGGGCGGUUAGAUAAAGGUCUCUGUCAUGUACCUCUUUUCGGGGAGGCCUUAUAGGGGAGACGACAUGUAACCAGCCUGGACUGAGGGCCGCGCAAUUUAUUGCUAGGAUGCUGGCGUAAUGGCUGUAAGCGGCCCGUCUUGAAACACGGACCAAGGAGUCUAACAUCUAUGCGAGUGUUUGGGUGUCAAGCCCAGACGCGUAAUGAAAGUAAACGGAGGUAAGAACCCUUUGGGUGCAUUAUCGACCGAUCCUGAUGUCUUCGGAAGGAUUUGAGUAAGAGCAUGGCUGUUGGGACCCGAAAGAUGGUGAACUAUGCUUGAAUAGGGUGAAGCCAGAGGAAACUCUGGUGGAGGCUCGCAGCGGUUCUGACGUGCAAAUCGAUCGUCAAAUUUGGGCAUAGGGGCGAAAGACUAAUCGA